rnacentral:rRNA from 1 species
CGGGUGCACUGAUCCAGCCGGGCCUUUCCCUCUGUGGAACCCCAUGGCCUUCACUGGCUGUGGUGGGGAAACAGGACUUUUACUUUGAAAAAAUUAGAGUGCUCCAGGCAGGCCUAUGCUCGAAUACAUUAGCAUGGAAUAAUAGAAUAGGACGUGUGGUUCUAUUUUGUUGGUUUCUAGGACCGCCGUAAUGAUUAAUAGGGACAGUCGGGGGCAUCGGUAUUCAAUUGUCAGAGGUGAAAUUCUUGGAUCUAUUGAAGACUAACUACUGCGAAAGCAUUUGCCAAGGAUGUUUUCAUUGAUAAGGAACGAAAGUUAGGGGAUCGAAGACGAUCAGAUACCGUCGUAGUCUUAACUAUAAACUAUGCCGACUAGGGAUCGGACGAUGUUAUUCUUUGACGCGUUCGGCACCUUUCGAGAAAUCAAAGUGCUUGGGCUCCAGGGGGAGUAUGGUCGCAAGGCUGAAACUUAAAGAAAUUGACGGAAGGGCACCACCAGGGGUGGAACCUGCGGCUUAAUUUGACUCAACACGGGGAAACUCACCAGGUCCAGACACAGUGAGGAUUGACAGAUUGAGAGCUCUUUCUUGAUUCUGUGGGUGGUGGUGCAUGGCCGUUCUUAGUUGGUGGAGUGAUUUGUCUGCUUAAUUGCGAUAACGAACGAGACCUUAACCUGCUAAAUAGCCCGUACUGCUUUGGCAGUUCGCCGGCUUCUUAGAGGGACUAUCGG